rnacentral:rRNA from 1 species
UACAGAGGGUGCAAACGUUGUUCGGAAUUACUGGGCGUAAAGCGCGUGUAGGCGGCUAAGUAGGUCGGGCGUGAAAUCCCACGGCUCAACCAUGGAAGUGCAUUCGAAACUGCAGAGCUAGAGUCCUGGAGAGGAAGGUGGAAUGCUUGGUGUAGAGGUGAAAUUCGUAGAUAUCAAGCGGAACACCGGUGGCGAAGGCGGCCUUCUGGACAGUGACUGACGCUGAGACGCGAAAGCGUGGGGAGCAAACAGG